AUAUUGCAAAUGCAGACCUGUAAACACAGAUCGCCUGUCAUCAGAAACGCUGUAAAACUUUUUACGUGCAAGAUAAUUCAAGUCCAAUGAAGAAAAGUGGGCAGAUGGAUACAACAUAGUCAUUACCAUUUAAUAACGAACUAUAAUGAAAAUGACUAGAUUUCCCUCUGCAGGUGCCUUAGAUUUAAUUAUUGCAAGAGUGGAGUGGAUGGAGGGAUGUGGCUGGAAAGACCCUACCUCAGACUGGUGUGGCAUUAAUAGGAGCCAAACCAGCCAGACGGUUUUUCCUUCCAGUUCAAAGACAGUCAGCAGAUGAAGCUUUAAGCCACAGAAACUUCUUCAGAUCAAUAGGUA